rnacentral:rRNA from 1 species
UUGCCCUAGUAACGGCGAGUGAAGCGGCAACAGCUCAAAUUUGAAAUCUGGCUCUCUUUGGUUGGUCGUGUUGUAAUUUGCAGAGGGUGCUUUGGCGUAGGCGGCGGUCUAAGUUCCUUGGAACAGGGCAUCGCAGAGGGUGAGAAUCCCGUAUGUGGUCGCCUGCCUUCGCCGUGUAAAGCCCCUUCGACGAGUCGAGUUGUUUGGGAAUGCAGCUCUAAAUGGGAGGUAAAUUUCUUCUAAAGCUAAAUAUAAGCCAGAGACCGAUAGCGCACAAGUAGAGUGAUCGAAAGAUGAAAAGCACUUUGGAAAGAGAGUCAAACAGCACGUGAAAUUGUUGAAAGGGAAGCGCUUGCAGCCAGACUUGCCCGCAGUUGCUCACCUAGGCUUUUGCCUGGGGCAUUCUUCUGCGGGCAGGCCAGCAUCAGUUUCGGCGGUCGGAUAAAGGUCUCUCUCACGUACCUGCCUACGGGUAGCCUUAUAGGGGAGACGACAUGCGACCAGCUGGGACUGAGGUCCGCGCUUCGGCUAGGAUGCUGGCGUAAUGGCUGUAAGCGGCCCGUCUUGAAACACGGACCAAGGAGUCUAACAUCUAUGCGAGUGUUUGGGUGUCAAGCCCGAGCGCGCAAUGAAAGUGAACGGAGGUGGGAACCUUAGGGUGCACCAUCGACCGAUCCUGAAGUCUUCGGAUGGAUUUGAGUAAGAGCAUAGCUGUUGGGACCCGAAAGAUGGUGAACUAUGCUUGAAUAGGGUGAAGCCAGAGGAAACUCUGGGUGGAGGCUCGCAGCGGUUCUGACGUGCAAAUCGAUCGUCAAAUUUGGGCAUAGGGGGCGAAAGACUAAUCGAACUAUCUAGUAGCUGGGUUCUGCGA